UUAAUAUAGUAUGGCCACCAGAGGUCUUCCCAAUCUUGGAAUCGUAGCCCUAAAGAUCACUGAUGUUGGUUCAUAUUGAUAAUAUGGUUCUGUAAUUCUGUCUGGCCACAAGGGAUUGCUACAGUAUUUAAAUAUUAGUACUGAAAAAUGAUGAUAAUAAUAACUAGUAUUUAUAUAGCACCUUUCUCCCAGUGGGACUCAAAGUGUUUUUCAGCACAUGCUCUUGGAAUAAACCAAAUCGGUAGCUGAAUAGUAAUAGAUAGUAAUAGAUGUUAUUAUUAUCCAAUUGAUGGGACUCAUUUUAUCGACCUUGGAAGGAUGAAGGGCUUAGUAGUUGACCCUGCCGGGGUUUUUUGUUUGUAAAAUGCAUUAAUAUAGUAUGGCCACCAGAGGUCUUCCCAAUCUUGGAAUCCUAGCCCUAAAGAUAACUGAUGUUGGUUCAUAUUGACAAUAUAGUUCCAUAAUGCUGUAUGGCCACAAGGGAUCUCUACAGUACUUAAAUAUUUGUACUGAAAAAAAUAUCAAAGUGCCACCAAAGGGGGCUCUAUGUUGACUAACAGAAAAAAAGAAAGGGAUAUUUUGGUAUAGUGAUUCUUAAAGGGACACUAUAGUCAGCCAGACAACCUCUGGUUUGCAUUGACUAAUGGCACUAACGCCAUCUGCAAAAGAACACUUCUUGUGAGAGCAGGACCAGAAAAAAUAUUGUUAAAUAUGAAGAAUGGAAAAACACUUACUGAGGCAGUUCAGAGAGAGUACUAAACAAAAUAGCUCACUAAACAUCUGUU